rnacentral:lncRNA from 1 species
AGUUCUGUGAUUGGGGCAUGCAGAAUCUUCUGGGUAAUGUAGUCUGUGAGGUCCCUCCCAGGGUUCUGGGUAAUGUAGUUCUGAUUGGGAUACGCAGAGUCUUUUGGGUACUGUAGUCCUCGGUGUGGACUGUCAGGCCAAGAAUUCUGGGUACUGUAGUUGGGGGUGCACACCGGGGCUUUUCGGCUGGGUUAUGACGUGCAAGAUUCUGUAUACGUGCUGCCGAAGCAAGCACAUCGUGGAAGAUUCUGUGACCUCUGCAGGUGAGAAGCCUCCAUCCUUGGCCUCGGCCCUCCUCCAGGACUCAGUCUCCUGCCAAGCCUGCCCUAGGCGUCCCUCAGGCUGAACAGCAGGAGAGUGAGGUGCAGCAGGACCUUGCACUUGCCAGGUAGGUGCUACACCACUGUAGGGAACAGGGGAAGGGGACGUUACCAGAACCUCUGCAGUGAGUCCUAGUCUCCUGUGAGCCACGGCAGCACACGCGAAUUACAGGAAAGGUAGACAAAUGAGACUGAGAAGAAGCUGAGCUUUGGGUCUGAUCAGUGCUGCUCUGGUCAGCAAAGACAAAAGCCCCCCUAGCUUGCAGCACCUUUUAUUCAGUACAUCAGGAGAAACAGAUGUAACAAGUGAAAAUAGAGUUCAGUACUUCACAUUGGGAUAAACAAGGUGUAACGAAAGGCUGGGUGGGGCGACGGAAAUCUAAGAACAAUGAGGAACUAUGCAGAUGAAGAUUUGGUUCCUCCCAGGGCAUCUCCCGCAGGUGUGGUCUUGUCCUGGAGCAUUACAGCAUCAAGGGAUCACUGAAGUCUCAGUUGUGACUGGAGGCCCAACUGGAGUUAUUCUGUAGCUUGGCUGUAGGCAAGAGAACUAGGCAACCAAAUGAUUUUUUCCUAGAAUUAUGUAGCAUUGCUCCCAACACACCACUGUGCUACAUCCUUGGUCUUAAACUUGUUUUGUUUUGUUUUUUGAGAUAGAGUCUCACUCUUAAUUCAGGUUGGCCUUGAACUCACUAUGUUGCCCAGGCAGGCCUCAAACUCAAGGUGAUCCUCCUGCCUCAGCCUCUCGAGUACUGGGAUUACAGGCAUGUGCCACCAUUCUUGUUUUUGAGUAACCACAGGAUUGGUGUCUAACCUUUAAUGCUGUCAGUGGAGUAAAAUGGCCUUUCUGUUCAGCUGUUACAAGCCUAAGAUUGUUAAAGCAUCUUUGAAUGUCUCAUCUUUUCUAGAUUAUCAGUAAGUACUGUUGGUCAAAUAACUUUGGGGGCACUGGAACAUACUUGAAUUAAGAUUGAUUUCAUCUUUUACUUGUCUUUACACUCACUUAAAAUCAGGUAUUCCAUCUAAAUUGUUUGCAUACCUUGUCUGAAAAUCCCACACUUCCGCAAUUAGGUCAGAGGUGAGGGAGGAGGAAAAAUGUUUGACUAAGAUGGGUUGGGAGAGUGAAAGAAUAUUUUAUGUAGACAUUAGUCUUCUGUAAAUAUUACAACUGGAGUACAAAGUAGAAAAAUAUACAGUAGUUAAAACAUUUGCUCUAUAAAUUGUUAACUUUUGGAGAUACAGUGACUGCUACAAAUAGAGGCUUUACACUAAAGGAAAAUUUAUGUCCUUUUGAAAAUGAAAUCUUAUUCCAUAAAUGCAGCCAAACUAAAUAUAAUUAUUAGUUCAAAAAUCAGUGCUGUCAGAGAAAUUAAUCAAGUAGGAAAAUUUUCAACCAGUGACUUUCCAUUUUAAAUUAUGUAGUGUAGUCAAACAUAGUUAUACAGAAUUUUCAUAUUUUUUCUUUGUACAGGGUUAUACAUUAUGGGAUUUUUUUUUUUUUAAAAGAAAAACAUUUUAAAUCCUACCAAUCAACAUUUUCUUUUCUUUUCUUUCAUUCUUUUUUUUUUUUUUGUUGGUACCAGGGAUCAAACUCAGGUCCUUGUUCUUGCAAGGCAGGCAGCGGAACCACUGAGCUAAAUCCCUGGCCCCAAUCAACAUUUUCUAUCAAUCAUGGAUGAACUCAAAUUUUUCUCAGUAAUCUCUGAAAUUUCUUUAAAUUAUAUACUUAGCAGCAGAGAAAAUGGAUCAUUUUGCAUAUAAAGCUGCAUCCACUUCAAAUGCUGUCACAAGUUCUUAAGGGGGAUUUGUCUUAUACGUGAUAUUUUUAAAGUUAAUAAUGUAUUAACUUAUUUUAUAAACUUUUAGACUAUAAUUUUGUUCUGGAAUCAUGGAAAGAAAGACAGGGAGACAAAGAAUUUGGGUAAAAUAAUAAAAGUUUACUUGCAAGCAGGCAGGACUGCCAGAAACUGGCCUGGUCAGAGUCUGCGCCCUGGGUUCUUUGUCCAUCACCUUUUAUACUUUUGUCAGUCAUUAUCUCAUCCCUAGUGGUCUUUGUUAAGUAAAUAAAGUUCCAAUUCCUGUUUAAUGGUUAGACACAGGUGGUUUCUGUCACUGAUUACAGUCCCAUGACAGUUAAGGCACAUAUAGCACAAGUUUGUUCAAGGAUUCCCACUUUGUCCUUCAGAGCUAGGAUGUUAUCUAUAGUGGAGCUGCAGAUCAAAGGAGCUAAAAACCCUUCACUUUAAUCAACAAAAGCAGCGGGCUAAGGCAAGCUUUUAAAGGGAUACACUACCUAUUUUGCUUCCACAACUAAUUUAAUAGCUAAUCAACUAAACUUACUUUAAAACUUUUCCCUGUCAGUUUGAUCUGUACAUUUUAAUGUCAGCCACCUCUCAAGUUAGUCUAUAAGUGUUGUAUAAUUUUCUUUGGUCACUAUUAUUUGGACUAAGUAGUACCACUUGGGUCAGGAUUUUCUUCAAUACCAUGUAUUUAGCAAACCAACUGUCUUUGGUCUAUGCAACUAGCAAAAAUUUGUAUAAUACAACAGAAUAUGAUUCUCACACUUAACUUUCACAUGAGGAGUUUUUCUGGAACCCAGUCUAGCAAAAUUAGAGGGAAAGUUUUAAAAAAUAUUUAAGAGAAAAAGCCAACAUUUUCAGGCUAAAUAGUUGAAUCUGUAAUUUAAAGAUUGUAGAUAAUGUUUAUUAUCUCAACUCUCCAAAGUUUGUUGUGUUGAACUAUCAUUUGAGCUUAUUUGUGAGGUGGCUGAAUACAAUUGGGCAGCUAAAUUUCAGUUACAUAUGUCUCCUGUAUAGACAGAAAAUAAGCAGUUAUUGUAAACUGACUUGCAGACAAAGUAGGAAUUGUUCUGCAUGUUGUUUUUGUAAAGACAUGACAUUUUCAAAGAAGCACAUGCCAUCCAAUUUUCUGUCAGUCAUACCAUUGUAUAAAACAGAAAAACUGAAGGGGAGAAAUGAUUAUUGUAUACAUGGAAUUGCUUUGGAUGAUCUCAUUUGAGAUAAUUGGUGUAGGAAUCAUAAUUUUGUAUGUCUGGAAAUUUAAAUGGAAACAUGAAUACAUGCUUUCAGUUCUUUUGGAUAUCUACAUAGGAAUGGAAGGGUUGAAUGGUACAGUCAAUUUGUUAUCAGCCACUUAGGCUCAUACCCUCAGGUUUGUCUGCUCCCUGAUGACCAGAUCAAAAGAGGGCAUAUAUUUGGGUAAAAAAGAAAAAGGAUUUAUUUAUUUAAAGGUAGCUCUGAAGAGAUAGAGGUGCCCAUUUGCCUCAAAUCCCCAUAUGUGCACAAGGGAGUUUUAUAGUAAGAAACAGAGGGGAGGGGGAAACACAGAGAGACUGUAGAUCUUUACAUUUGCUUCAUCACUUUUAUUAAUCUUCAGCUUUUUUUUUUUUUUUUUUUUUAAACAGAAGUCAGGUUCCUGGCCUCCUGGGGCGGCAUCUAUACAUUUUGUCACUUUUUUGUUUAGGCUGAGUGGUGUUGGAGGAAGCUGUUUAUGUCCUACGCCCCAGGAAGUUACUUGUCUCUAAAGGAAAAAAAAAGUUUUAUUUUUCAGUGCCAGUUAUAAUUCCCCCUUCCUUAUUUGAGCCCUCAUUCUUGAGGGUACUGAGUAUCAGGCCUUCCCUAAAUCAACAGGGAAAAUAAACAGGGUGCUUUGAACAAAUACCAGCAGCUUCCCAGUAAGUGAGGUAAAUGGACUAAAAAAUAUGGUCUAUCACCCCGGCACUGAACAAUCCAAUAAGUGUAUACAUGCCUGAGCAGACCGUCCAGACCACCGUAAGUUAUAAAUAUGUUACCCCAGAUUCCUUAGCCCCUUCCAUACCUAUAUAAGCUUAGUUCCAUUCCAAGUUAAUUGCUAGUAUCUCUCUUCCUUGGUGUUAGCCCAUCCUCUCAAGGAUGAAAUCUCUCCCAGCAAGCCACCGCUAUCUCUCUCCCUCCCACUGCUGACCAUUAGAAUCCCCUGACCUUAGUCCUUGUCCCUGUUCACUGGAAUAAACUUUUCCUUUUUUAAAUUACAAGCUAAGUUUUAUUAUUACAAAUAUAAUUACAGAUAAACAGGCCAUUUUUGAUACAUGAUAAAACAUUUCCUGUGUAUAGCACACAAAAAAUAUAUAAGUUCAUUCUACAAUUGAACAAAAGAUUUUUCUUUUUUGCAGUACUGUGAUUGACUCAAAGCCUUGGCACUGAGCUACAUUACCAGCCUUUUAAAAAUAUUUUUAUUUUGAAACAGGGUUUUGCUAAGUCACUAAAUUGUUCAGACAAGACUUGAAGUUGUAGUCCUACCUCAGGCUGUCAAGGUGCUGGGAUUAUAAGCAUGUGUUACCACGCCCAUCACUGAGCAAAUACUUUUAAAAACUUUUAACAGUUAAUACAUUAUCUUAUUAGAAUUUGAAUGCAGUACAUUUCUGAUAAACUUUUCUUUUUCUCACAAUGGAGAGCCUGUCUUGUUGACAAGUGGAUUCUGUAUAACAUCUUUUUUGGUACCGGGGAUUGAACUUGGGACCUUGCACUUGCAAGGCAGGUGCUGGAACCACGGAGCUACAUCCCCGCUCCACAUCUUUUAAAACUAUUUGUUUUGAGACAGGGUCUUGCCAUAUAGUCCAGGGUACCCUCUAAUUCACAGUGAUUCUCCUGACUCAGCUUCUUCUUCUUUUUUUUAAGUUUUUGAGACAGGGUCUUACUAUGUAGCCCAGGGUGACCUCAAACUCACAGCAAUCCUGCCUCAUCUUCCUGUGUGCUGGAAUUAUAGGUAUGCACCACCACCAUGCCUGAACCUUUUAAAACCAUUUUAAAAAAGUCAUGUGAACAAAGAGAUAUUUGGGUUUAUUUUUUUUUAGGUCAUUGAGUACUUUAAAAAAAAGUAAUCUGGUACCAUCUAAACAAUAUAUAAAUGCAAGUAUAUGGAUAGGCAUAACAUAAUAUAUACAUUCAUGCCAACACACAUAAAACAACAACUUAAAGUUAUAAUUUAUCAUCUUUUUUUUUUUCCCCACUUUUCUUUUUUGGUACUGGGAAUCGAACCCAGGGCCUCACGGUUGCUGGGCAGGCGCUGUGCCACCAAGCUAAAUCCCCAGCCCAAUUUAUCAUCUUUUAAAAAGUUAUAUUUUUUUGGAAGGGCUGGGGAUUUAGCUCAGUGGUUCUGCCAACUGCCUCGCAAGUGCAAGGACCCAAGUUCGAUCCCUGGUACCCCCCAAAGUUAUAUUAUUGGCUGGGGAUUUAGCUCAGUGCCACUGAGCUAAGCAGAAGGUCCUGAGUUUGAUCCCUGGUACGGUAAAAUUUUUUUUUUAUAUUAUUGUGUUUUUAAAUAGUCUUAUGUAAUAUUUAAUCUUAAAUUUGCAUAUCUGAAGAUAGGAUUCAGGUUGUAACCAGGUUGGAAAUUUAUAUCUCAAAGGAGAUUGCUUGCCUAGUAAAAUGGAACAUGAAAUUUUUGAAGUUUUCAUUUUUUCCUUAUAGAUCUUGGUCAAUUUAAGACUUUUAUUGUGCUAAAAUUUAGAUAUACAUGGUCAAAAAUUUAUGUCUUAUCUAAUAUGAAAAAUAAUCCAUUUUAGAAACAAUAUUCCCCACAAAAAAAAAACAGAAAGGCAAAACAUCUGUAUCUUAGCCAAUCUUAUUUUAAUGAAUCUUUUUUUUUUUGUACUGGGGAAUGAACUCGCAUCCUUGUGCUUGCGUAGCAGGUGGUGAAACCACUGAGCUAAAUCCCCGGCCCUUAAUGAAUCUUUUGAAGGAAAGCCCUAUGAGAUCAGAGUGUGAUUUCAUGUAUUUGAUGU